CUGAAUAACUUUGCUGAUCACAUGGUCCUUGUACCGGUGACAUAUCUUUCAAGUGUCUGCCCUAUCAACUUUCGAUGGUAGUUUAUGCGCCUACCAUGGUUGUAACGGGUAACGGAGAAUAAGGGUUCGACUCCGGAGAGGGAGCCUGAGAAAUGGCUACCACAUCCAAGGAAGGCAGCAGGCGCGCAAAUUACCCACUCUCAGCUCGAGGAGGUAGUGACGAAAAAUAACGAGAUGGUUCUCUAUGAGGCCCGUCAUCGGAAUGGGUACAAUUUAAACCCUUUAACGAGGAUCUAUUGGAGGGCAAGUCUGGUGCCAGCAGCCGCGGUAAUUCCAGCUCCAAUAGCAUAUACCAAUUCUGUUGCUGUUAAAAA
rnacentral:rRNA from 1 species